CGUCUUUUAUUAUUUUACCUGCGCGUAUAUACAGCUUGUUCCUGACUGUUCUCGUAGAUUAGUUAACUAUAAGAUACGUUUGAAUUCGGAAAAAAACUUCGGGAAAUCUAUGACAGACAAAUUUUUUUCAACGUGCGCUGUUUAUUAUGUUGGACUAUAACACCGAGAUAACAAUUCAUCGCCGUCGGGGUUGUUGGAUUUCGUCAGAAUAGAUUGUACUGCAUGUCUGCAUCAUCGCGAUAUAUUAUUUUGAAAAUUCGUAACUCUAGUCGCAGACGACUGUAUUAUGUCCCGUUAAAAUUGGAAACGGUAGCAAAAACAAAUAAAAUUGUGUGACUUUUUCGGAUUCAAACUCGGUAACAAGCGAUGACAUCUAAAUAAGAAGUAUAAGAAAUUACUUAUUGUAUAAUACUCCGUAUAUCGAACCCAUUCGCAAGAAAUCAGCACAGUAUCACGUGCUAUUAAACAAAUAAUAUAAUAAUGGUAACGCGCAGAAAUGUAUUUUGUUACUGGGUUAUUAUUACGUAUUACUCGUAUUAUACACAGAUUUAAAC